GCAGCAGGCGCGAAAACUUUACAAUGCGGGAAACCGUGAUAAGGGAAUCUCGAGUGCCAGCAUAUAAUGUUGGCUGUCCAGAUGCCUAAAAAGCAUCUGUUAGCAAGGGCCGGGCAAGACCGGUGCCAGCCGCCGCGGUAACACCGGCGGCCCGAGUGGUAACCGCUUUUAUUGGGUCUAAAGGGUCUGUAGCCGGCCAGGUAAGUCCCUUGGGAAAUCUGGCAGCUCAACUGUCAGGCUGCUAGGGGAUACUGUUUGGCUUGGGACCGGGAGAGGUGAGAGGUACCUUGGGGGUAGGGGUGAAAUCUUGUGAUCCUCGGGGGACCACCAGUGGCGAAGGCGUCUCACCAGAACGGGUCCGACGGUAAGGGACGAAAGCUAGGGGCACGAACCGGAUUAGAUACCCGGGUAGUCCUAGCCGUAAACGAUGCUCGCUAGGUGUCAGUCACGGUGCGACCGUGAUUGGUGCCGUAGGGAAGCCGUGAAGCGAGCCACCUGGG
rnacentral:rRNA from 1 species